rnacentral:rRNA from 1 species
CUACGGGGCGCAGCAGUGGGGAAUAUUGCGCAAUGGGCGAAAGCCUGACGCAGCAACGCCGCGUGAGUGAUGAAGGCCUUCGGGUCGUAAAGCUCUGUCGGGAGGGAAGAACACCUUCGGGUCUGACGGUACCUCCCGAGGAAGCACAGGCUAACUCCGUGCCAGCAGCCGCGGUAAUACGGAGUGUGCAAGCGUUGUUCGGAAUUACUGGGCGUAAAGCGCGCGUAGGCGGCUUGAUAAGUCAGAUGUGAAAUCCCUCGGCUUAACCGAGGAACUGCAUUUGAAACUGUCAGGCUUGAGUACGGGAGGGGGAAGCGGAAUUCCCAGUGUAGAGGUGAAAUUCGUAGAUAUUGGGAGGAACACCAGCGGCGAAGGCGGCUUCCUGGACCGAUACUGACGCUGAGGCGCGAAAGCGUGGGGAGCAAACAGGAUUAGAUACCCCUAUAGUC